ensembl:lncRNA
CAUAUACACAAAUAUGAUCCAUAUGUGUCUUACUGCUUUUUCUAAAACAUGUAUUUCUUUUUUGUUUUCUCAUUUUUUCAAUGAGAAGAAUAUAUUAGAAUAUAUAAAAGAGUGAUGGAUAGAGAACACAGAAACUGAAAGUAUGAGCAGUCAUGACUCAAACACGGAAGAGCAGGGAGAGAGUGAGAGACUUGCCAUCUGGAUGUCUCCUGAUCUCGGCCUCAGGCUAGAUCGUCGAUGUUAAGGGCUGCCCUGCUGUCAUCUAAAUGCUGUAUAGUAAGCUUUUUUUUCUUUAUGUAAUGUUAUAUAACAGAUUCCUCCGCAUUUUUUGGAACCAUCUGUUUUAAUCUAUUCACACGUUUUGGGGUGAAUUUCCUUCUCUUAAAGGAAGCUCUGUCGCACCAAAUCAUGCUUUCAAUAAGUUGGAUUUGUUUUGAUGGAGUGUAAAUACAUACACCUUUAUCCAGGCCACAAUUAUGAUGGGCGACUAUUCAUUUUCAUUCAUCCUUUUGAUGCCACUGCAUCCUUACAUUGUGCCUCUUAUUCGGAGUUGCUACCCUCUAUCUCUGUUUUCCCCUCAAAACAGUUUCUUAUGCAUGAACGUAUGAAACAAACACAACUGAACUAACAUUAGAUCACACCGACCACAUGCGAUGAAGGAACCCAGAUGAACAAAAGCUAUCCGUUUACACAAUUUGCCUGUUUCCUAGCUGGCCUGCAUCCUUUAACGCAUGGUGACAGGUCUUGACUGAAGGUCGCUCAUUAUACUGCACUAUAAAAUAAUACAAAUCAAUGUUAGUGAUGCCUAAAUUCCCACCUGGAAGGGAUACUGUGCAAUGCUGCAGCGGUCUGCACACACUCACUAUCACGGAGCAAUUUGUUUAAAAAUAAAGAAUGUCUGUUUUUAUUAAGAAACAUUGCCGAUGCAUUCUACUGAAUUGAGUAAAUAAGAACAGCCUUAUUAUGAGAGUGUUGGCAGAGAUUCAUAUCUUUGAAUUCAGCGAGAUGUAAAAGUGGUGCUCUUGGCUGCGAGCGAAAGAGGAGCCGGUAAGCUCGCUGUAGAGCGAUAUAUUGUGUGACGGCAACAACAUCACUGACAGAAGGGACAUGCGUCUCUGGAGUCCAUAAUCAUAUUUCACCGUGAAAUGUGGCGAUCCUGAUACGAUGUAAGUCUGUUUUUCGCUCUUUGGCAGAACGGGGGCACCAUUGUUUUUCAGGCUGUCACAGUGCUGCAGACGCUGAAAGCUGCCCUCUAAAAACUAUUGGAAGACCCCCAAUGCAUUUAAUGGGUUCGCCUAAUGCGGUGCAGUUAUGUAAGCAAUUUGUUUAACAGAAAUGAUAAUGUUUGGAUGACAAUGAAACUGGCACAUAGCCGAGCACCUUAUUAAUCAGAUCAAUAUGGCACAUUGUGUUGUACAACAUUUAAACCGGACUGCGUGUUCCGCUCUCAGGAGGAUGAAUGUUUUUUAAGAGAGGCUCUGGAAUUUCUUAGAUUAGGUUACUGCUCAACGUCCCAGCUGCCUUAUAGACUAAAAAGAGUAACUCCUCUGACACGGUGCAUAAGAUGACCAGGGCUAUGAAUGUGUCAACUCUGCUUCGUAUGGUUUUCAUAUGUGUGUCCAUACAUGAUACACACUGAUCUGAAUGAAAACCGACGCCCCUACAAACACCCCUCUAUGCAGACUUUCUUAUGUCAAUCAGAGCUGCCCUGUGGCCAGAACCACUGUCAGCUCUGAGAUGCCUUCCAUGAAAUAUUCACCAUUCCACGAGUCAUGUUCAGACUGCAGGCAGAGCUGUGCUUGACUGUCCUGUUCCCAGAUCAGACCUGGCUAAGAUGAGUCGCUGUUCUCUUUGAUGCUCUGCUGGGUCUACUGACUAGAAUGUGUCUCUCCAAAUGCUAAGCUGCCUCCACGUUACUACCUCUGUUCUUUCUUUCUUACUUCAACAUUUUUACGUUCCUUCCUUCUUGCAUUAGAUACCGGAUAGAUUAAGACGCAGUUUAACAGCAUUAAGCACCUUUUAUGACCUCAACAGUGAGGUAGCUUUAAUAUCUUGUUCAUGUAAAACUCAUCUUGUUGCUAUGAACAUUUUCUGAAAGGGCGCCUGAGGAGCAGUCGAUGAUUAGUGGUCUACAAUAUGUGAGAGGCGUGAUGUUGGUUUAGGGUCUUGGCUAAGAGACCAUAAAUUACCAGAAACAAAGAAUAUCAUCUCCCCCAGCAGCGGUGAUUAAUCUUACUUUGGGCUUCUAACUGUGGAGCGGGGGAGCAGCAUGUUGCGAAGUCGGGCAACAUUUUCCUGACCAUUUAUCCAUUAUAGAUCCCUGAAGCACAUCCGCGGACACCUCAAUUGCAGCCUUUUUUUGGGACGCUAUUACAUCCAGUACCAAAUGACAUUUCAGCAGCAUUACCCAGCAACAUUCACAGUGCAAACAAUGUAGACAAACUUUAGCUGUUUUUGACUGACAAAAGAUAGAUUUUUCCCCCUUUAGCAGUGGACCCGAUGUGUCACAGAUUCUUAUAAGUCCUUAAUACUUAGUGCACACCCUUGAGGCUCACACUACUGUUACGGUUUAAAGACAUUUUCUCCACCUGCAGAGGAUUCAAAGUGCACUCGCUUUGUACAGCUGCAUAAUUGGGCUUUACACAUCUGAUAUUUUACCUAUGAUGUCAAAACUAUGUCCUACUUUCUCAGACAAAGGACUAAAUCAUGAGCGAAGGUCUAAACCAGAAGCCAACUGUCAAAAAGGCCAGCUUUGAUUUUGUUGAGCCUCAGGCCAGUGUGGUCUGUGUGCACUUAAAUUUGGCAUCCAUCUUAAGUUUGUUUUCCUCUUAAAACAAAGUAAGAGGUAAUUAUUCGGCUGCCUGGAGGCACUGGAGGC